UACGAAGGGGGCGAGCGUUGUUCGGAAUUACUGGGCGUAAAGGGCGCGUAGGCGGAUAGUUUAGUGAGAGGUGAAAGCCCAGGGCUCAACCUUGGAACUGCCUUUCAUACUGGCUAUCUUGAGUACGGGAGAGGUGAGUGGAACUCCGAGUGUAGAGGUGAAAUUCGUAGAUAUUCGGAAGAACACCAGUGGCGAAGGCGACUCACUGGCCCGUUACUGACGCUGAGGCGCGAAAGCGUGGGAGCAACAGG
rnacentral:rRNA from 1 species